rnacentral:lncRNA from 1 species
AAACCAAGGAAUCCAACAAGCCUAACUUAAUCCUAGCAAUUAACUUGACUAAAUGAAAAUUAACAAUUAAUUUUAAAAGUCCAAUUGGCCAAAAAGAACCUCAUGGCUGUGCACCACACUCCACCAAGUCCACUUCAAUUUUUACUCUUCAAGAAACCAUCCAAUUUGUUGUCUUUUUGUCCUCAUGUGCACCAUUUCUCAAAAGGAGUUAAAAUAUACUUAAAACAAUCCAUUUGAAACCAUGCCCUUACUCCUUUCAUGCAGCAAAUUCGGAUUCCAAUACCAAGGCACAAAUUUACGUGAGCAACAAAGAAGUGGCUACCAAAAAGUGCUUCCAAACCAAAGGNUAAAUGAAUGUAACCAUGGGUGCUUCUACCAAUGUGCCAAGUAAGCUAAAUCAAAUGUAAACAAACUCCAAAAACCUCCAAACACCAUUAAGNUUCUGCAGCAACAAUGCAAGAGCCAUGCUCAAAGUGGAAACCUUCCUAGAAUGACAANAAGCAUCUUUUUUGGUUUGCC